rnacentral:rRNA from 1 species
UACGUAGGGUGCAAGCGUUAAUCGGAAUUACUGGGCGUAAAGCGUGCGCAGGCGGUUUGUUAAGACAGAUGUGAAAUCCCCGGGCUUAACCUGGGAACUGCAUUUGUGACUGGCAAGCUAGAGUAUGGCAGAGGGGGGUAGAAUUCCACGUGUAGCAGUGAAAUGCGUAGUGAUGUGGAGGAAUACCGAUGGCGAAGGCAGCCCCCUGGGCCAAUACUGACGCUCAUGCACGAAAGCGUGGGGAGCAAACAGG